rnacentral:rRNA from 1 species
GACGUAGGAGGCGAGCGUUGUCCGGAUUCAUUGGGCGUAAAGAGCGCGCAGGCGGCUGGUCAAGUCCGAUGUGAAAGCUCCCGGCUUAACUGGGAAAUUGCAUCGGAAACUGAUCGGCUGGAAGGUGGGAGAGGGUAGCGGAAUUCCCGGUGUAGUGGUGAAAUGCGUAGAUAUCGGGAGGAACACCAGUGGCGAAAGCGGCUACCUGGCCCAUUCUUGACGCUGAGGCGCGAAAGCUAGGGGAGCAAACGGG